GGAAUUGGGGGUGAAGCCACCGCGUUCUGCCCACAUUCGGGGCGCGGAGCUGGGGGUCCCCGGGGGGCGCCCGCAGUUAAGAUGGCGUCUACAGCGGACGGGGACAUGGGAGAGACGCUGGAGCAGAUGCGGGGGCUGUGGCCGGGUGUCGAGGAUCUGAGCCUUAACAAGUUGGCGACGUCUCUGGGCGCGUCGGAACAGGCGCUGCGGCUCAUCUUCUCCAUCUUCCUGGGCUACCCGUUGGCUCUGUUUUACCGGCAUUACCUUUUCUACAAGGACAGCUACCUCAUCCAUCUCUUCCACACCUUCACGGGCCUCUCAAUUGCUUAUUUCAACUUUGGCCACCAGUUCUACCACUCCUUGCUAUGUGUCGUGCUUCAGUUCCUCAUCCUGCGACUCAUGGGCCGCACCGUCACUGCCGUUAUUACUACCCUUUGCUUCCAGAUGGCCUACCUUCUUGCCGGAUAUUACUACACAGCCACCGGUGACUACGAUAUCAAGUGGACAAUGCCACAUUGUGUCUUGACACUGAAGCUAAUUGGGCUGUGUAUUGACUACUACGAUGGAGGCAAAGACGGGAAUUCCUUGACCUCUGAGCAACAGAAAUAUGCCAUACGGGGUGUCCCUUCAUUGCUGGAAGUUGCUGGCUUCUCCUACUUCUAUGGAGCCUUCUUGGUAGGGCCCCAAUUUUCAAUGAACCACUACAUGAAGCUGGUGCGGGGACAGCUGACUGACAUACCAGGGAAGAUGCCAAACAGGUCAGAGGGUGAAGGGCGAUGCUCUGCUGUCUGUGACCCCACUUGUUCCUUUCCAGCACCAUACCUGCUCUCAAGCGCCUGAGUCUGGGCCUUGUCUACCUGGUGGGCUACACCCUGCUGAGCCCCCACAUCACAGACGACUAUCUCCUCACAGAAGACUAUGAUAACCGCCCUUUCUGGUUCCGCUGCAUGUACAUGCUGAUCUGGGGCAAAUUUGUGCUGUACAAAUACGUCACCUGCUGGCUGGUCACAGAAGGAGUGUGCAUUCUGUCGGGCCUGGGCUUUAAUGGCUUCGAUGAAAAUGGGACCGUGAGAUGGGAUGCCUGUGCCAACAUGAAAGUGUGGCUCUUUGAAACCACCCCUCGCUUCAAUGGCACCAUCGCCUCUUUCAACAUCAAUACCAAUGCCUGGGUAGCCCGUUACAUCUUCAAACGCCUCAAGUUCCUUGGAAAUAAAGAGCUCUCACAAGGUCUCUCCUUGCUGUUCUUGGCCCUCUGGCAUGGCCUACACUCAGGAUACCUGAUUUGCUUCCAGAUGGAAUUCCUCAUUGUUAUCGUGGAAAAGCAGGUCAGCAGUCUAAUUCGGGACAGCCCUGCCCUGAGCAGCCUGGCCUCCAUCACUGCCCUACAGCCCUUCUACUACUUGGUGCAACAGACCAUCCACUGGCUGUUCAUGGGUUACUCUAUGACUGCCUUCUGCCUCUUCACAUGGGACAAAUGGCUUAAGGUGUACAGAUCCAUCUAUUUCCUUGGACAUGUCUUCUUCUUGAGCCUACUAUUCAUAUUGCCUUAUAUCCACAAAGCAAUGGUGCCAAGAAAAGAAAAGUUAAAAAAGAGGGAAUGAUCUCUGUCUUUCCCUGGUGGCCGAGAGCUGGACUGGUGCAGAAACUACUUGUCUCCCUUCUCACAGCACUCCUCACCCCAGCAGAGACGCCAGGAGCUGGAAGUCACAGCACUCCCAGCUGUGCCUCUGCGACAGCCAAAGGGGAAGCUCUUGUGGGAGGAGCAGAGGGGCUGCACCCCCUUUGGACUCCCCCAUGCACGUUGCCUUAUCUCUCCCCUCUAGCCAGGAAUCUGUUGUUUCUCUUCUGCCAAUCUACUACGAUUGUAUAUGUGCCGAUACCGCCACCCCCCCCAUGGGGGGAGGGAAGGGUACAAGGCCCUGCCUGCUCCACUUUUUCUAUCUUGGAACUAUACCAGAUAAAAUCACUUCUGUUUGUUCAGUUUUUCA